UACGGAGGGUGCAAGCGUUAUCCGGAAUCAUUGGGUUUAAAGGGUCCGCAGGCGGUCUUAUAAGUCAGUGGUGAAAGCCUACAGCUCAACUGUAGAACUGCCAUUGAUACUGUAAGACUUGAAUUCGAUCGAAGUGGGCGGAAUAUGACAUGUAGCGGUGAAAUGCUUAGAUAUGUCAUAGAACACCGAUAGCGAAGGCAGCUCACUAGGUCUGGAUUGACGCUCAGGGACGAAAAGCGUGGGGGAGCAAACAGG
rnacentral:rRNA from 1 species